rfam:Lactococcus piscium MKFS47 genome assembly, chromosome: I
GGUCUCGUAGUGUAGUGGUUAUCACGUCGCCCUGUCACGGCGAAGAUCGCGGGUUCAAAUCCCGUCGAGACCG